CACGUAGGGCGCGAGCGUUGUCCGGAAUUAUUGGGCGUAAAGAGCUCGUAGGCGGCCUGUUGCGUCCGCUGUGAAAGCCCGGGGCUUAACCCCGGGUCGGCAGUGGAUACGGGCAGGCUAGAGGUAGGUAGGGGAGAAUGGAAUUCCGGUGUAGCGGUGAAAUGCGCAGAUAUCGGGAGGAACACCGGUGGCGAAGGCGGUUCUCUGGGCCUUACCUGACGCUAG
rnacentral:rRNA from 1 species